UCUCGAAAGCGUAAAAGUUACCUCAAAUUUGUAUGGAGUUGGAACGUUGGAACUUUCGCCUACGUUUGCCGCUAGGGGCGCUGUUCCAGUUGCAUAUAAAUUAUAGUUAACUUUUACGCUGUCGA
rnacentral:pre_miRNA from 9 species